UACGAAGGGGGCUAGCGUUGUUCGGAAUCACUGGGCGUAAAGCGCACGUAGGCGGAUUGAUAAGUCGGGGGUGAAAUCCCGGGGCUCAACCUCGGAAUUGCCUUCGAUACUGUUAGUCUUGAGUCCGGGAGAGGUGAGUGGAAUUCCUAGUGUAGAGGUGAAAUUCGUAGAUAUUAGGAAGAACACCAGUGGCGAAGGCGGCUCACUGGCCCGGUACUGACGCUCAUGUGCGAAAGCGUGGGGAGCAAACAGG
rnacentral:rRNA from 1 species